UACGUAGGGGGCUAGCGUUGUCCGGAAUCAUUGGGCGUAAAGCGCGUGUAGGCGGUCCGGUAAGUCCGCUGUGAAAGUCGGGGGCUCAACCCUCGGAUGCCGGUGGAUACUGUCGGGCUUGAGUACGGAAGAGGCGAGUGGAAUUCCUGGUGUAGCGGUGAAAUGCGCAGAUAUCAGGAGGAACACCAAUGCGAAGGCAGCUCGCUGGGACGUUACUGACGCUGGAGACGCGAAAGCGUGGGGAGCAAACAGG
rnacentral:rRNA from 1 species